rnacentral:rRNA from 1 species
AUUGAACGCUGGCGGCAGGCUUAACACAUGCAAGUCGAGCGGGGUGAUGGUGCUUGCACUAUCACUUAGCGGCGGACGGGUGAGUAACGCUUAGGAAUCUGCCUAUUAGUGGGGGACAACAUCUCGAAAGGGAUGCUAAUACCGCAUACGUCGUACGGGAGAAAGCAGGGGAUCACUUGUGACCUUGCGCUAAUAGAUGAGCCUAAGUCGGAUUAGCUAGUUGGUGGGGUAAAGGCCUACCAAGGCGACGAUCUGUAGCGGGUCUGAGAGGAUGAUCCGCCACACUGGGACUGGGACACGGCCCAGACUCCUACGGGAGGCAGCAGUGGGGAAUAUUGGACAAUGGGGGGAACCCUGAUCCAGCCAUGCCGCGUGUGUGAAGAAGGCCUUAUGGUUGUAAAGCACUUUAAGCGAGGAGGAGGCUCUUUUGGUUAAUACCCAAGAUGAGUGGACGUUACUCGCAGAAUAAGCACCGGCUAACUCUGUGCCAGCCGCCGCCGUAA